GUUCAGGGAGGUCCCAAGGAUCAGCAAAGAGCUCCCAGCAUGGAGAGUAGGUUUUAUGAUUUCGGAGUCCAGCUUGUUCCUUGCUUAGGCUAAAUUGGAAUGGAACAUUUCUUUUUUUUUUUUUUUUUUUUUUUUUUUAAGAUUUUUAUUUGAGAGAGAGAGCACGCGAGAGCAGGGGGCAGAAGGAGAAGCAGGCUCCCCGCUGCAGGGCUUAAUGUGGGGCUCGAUCCCAGGACCCCAGGAUCAUGACCUGAGCUGAUGGCAGACGCUCACCGAGCCACCCAGGCGUCCCUGGAAUGGAACAUUUCUUUUUUUUUUUUUUUUUUUUUUAAGUUUUUUUUUUUUUUUAUUCAUUCGAGACACAGAGAUAGAGAGAGAGAGCAUGAGCAGGAGGAGAAGCAGAGGGAGGGAGAGAAGCAGACUCCCCGCUGAGCAGGGAGCCCGAUGCGGGGCUCGAUUCCAGGACCCUGGGACCAUGACCUGAGCCGAAGGCAGACGCUUAACGGCUGAGCCACCCAGGCGCCCCUGGAAUGGAACAUUUCUGAAAGCCAACAGGGAUAGGGUGUCAGUGUUCUUUUGGCAUUUUCAAUGGAAAUAAUUACAGGUGACUCAUGUGAGUUUUAAUCCAGAAGAAAAGAUUAAAUGGGUAUGUGUAUAUUUGAAUUUCAAGUGAAUCAGUGCUGCUAUGUGGCCCACAUGGAGACAGAGGGCCAACCGAAGGUCAUUAGUAGGGAGUGUUUUCAGUGGUGCGGAGGGAGGGGAUUAAAGCAAACAGGAUAAUGUUCGUGUUGUGUUAGAAGUCUGAAGCACCAUUUGAAUAGGUCUGUAUUUUAUCUUCCAUGGUAUAAUGUUUCCAAAUUGCAUUAAUAGAUUUUUUUUAAACUGUGACCGAAGCUCUGUUUUCUGUUUCCUUCCUGAAGCUGUUUCCUUCCAAAAUUAUGUUUCAAAUGGGAAGAGAACAAGAAGAAUGUGGGAAACACAGGGUGCGUGGGCACUGGACCUUUUGGAUGGAACUGUGCUUUAUUGGGAGAUUGUUGGGGCCACCUCACAAGUGAGAGAGAAAGCACAAGCAGGGGGAGUAGCGGAGGGAGAGGGAGAAGCAGGCUUCCCACUGAGCAGGGAGCCCGACGAAGGACUCGAUCCCACAACCCUGGGACCAUGACCUGAGCCAAAGGCAGACGCUUAACCAACUGAGCCACCCAGGCAGUCCCUGUCUUCUGCAUCUGUGAAACGUCCUUCCUACAGCUUCAAGGGAGGAGACGACGUACCCUCGGGGAUAGCAAGGCCACACAAUGGAAGAUGCCUGAGUCCCUGGAUAAUUUCAUGGAGCCUGAACAGCCUGGACCAUUCCCCAUGAAAUGUGAAAUGAGAAUAAAUUUCCACAUUCUGGAAGCUGCUUGCUUGGGGUCUCUACCAAGAGAGACCAAGUUAUCUUUCUCUGCUAACACAAUGAUAAUGGAGAAAUACCAGGCAGGGAACUUGUAAUUAACAGCAUGUGAUUACAGAUCCAUGCCGAGACAUCCAUGCAGGCAGCUAUGUGCUCAGAGUGUGUCUUGUUUUCCCAUUCUAGAAGGGGGAGGUAUACACUCAAUGGAGGAUGAGCACCAUCAUCAGGUGCCAAAGAAUCCCGAGUCUUGAGGCCUCUGCUAGAUCCCAGCUACAAUAAAAUAAUCUUUUUUGGGGACCUCAGUUUGAAGUAUAUACAUUCUACUACUUCUACCCGCAGACUUUAAAAAUGUACUAUUUUACCUUUUAUGAUUUUGACCAUGUUUAGAGAAUUGCCUUCAUUUGCAACUAUCUUUGUUAUUACAUCUUCCCUCUUUUUAAAGGACUGAGUUAUUUUGUUCUUUUCUUCGAUUAUCACCUUUUUCUUCCUUUCUCCUUCCCUCCCUUCUUUUCUUUUUCUCUUCUUUCUUUCUUUUUAAGUAAACUCUACCCCCAACGUGGGGCUCAGACUCAUGACCCUGAGAUCAAGAGUCACAUUCUCUACCGACUGAGCCAGCCAAGUACCUGGAUAAUCACCUUUUUUAUUUCAAAUUUAACAUUUAAGCUUUCAUAUAGCUAUGCCCUUUUAAUUUGAGCUUCUGGAUCAGGAGUCGGGGAACUACGGCCAGCUGUAUUUAUAGAGAAGUUCAGAAAAUACAGCCACCUGUUUUUGAAUUUUUGUUAGAUUACAGCACCACCCAUUCAUGUCUGUGUUAUCCAUGGCUGCCUUCACCCUAGGUUGGGGGCGAUCAUCCAGAGGAUAUGACUGCUGGUUGGCCCAUGAGCUGGGUCCCCAGCAAUCAGAAACCUCUCAUUCCCUAUCCCUGGAAGUUGCAUUCCAUUGCCUUCCCUGCUCCCAGAAGCAGCCCCAAGAACAUAGUCUUCAGAUAGUGAUGUGAUGUUGAGACCAUCUGGAUGGUACACACGACUGAACCCAGUUAAGGCCUCUAUAUCAACUGUUUAAAGAUUUGGCAGGUGGGCGUGGAGAUCUCCUCUUCACAUGAUAAGUUCCCAUGCUUAGUAAACCUGCCACCUACCAAACUGGAAUGACCUGCCUCUUCUGUCCUUGCCUGCCCUCCUAGUACAAGAAAGUUCUCAAAUUACACCUGGGAAGUUCCAGAGGAGCUUGCAAACUAACAGACUUAGUAGAGGUAACUAUGACGGAGACCACAUGGCCCACAAAGCCAAAAACCUGUACAAUCUAGCCCUUUACAGAAAACAUUGGCCAACCCCUGUUCUAGAUCUGGAUCUAUUUUACUCUGAUCUAAUAGU